CCUCAUACCCAGAAGGCAUCCUCCUUUUCUCAGUACCUAUAUUUUCCAAGGGCAGUUUCUGAAAGACUUGGCAUUAAAUAAUACCACUUCUUAAGAACUACACUAAUUUCAGUAAAACACCACCUGAUCUAUAACUGCUGAAAGAAUCACAACUUUAUUAAAAAUGGAGGAUCUUUCUACCAAAACGGAACAAGAUAAGAAACUGGGAAGGGUGAAUUUUGGACUUUAAUGUCUUCAAAAUUUAACACUGAAAGCUGCUGCAGCCAAGAGGGACACUUUGAAGAAAGCAUGGGAGCUACAGAUGAGAG